CGUUAGGAUGAACGCUAGCGACAGGCCUAACACAUGCAAGUCAGGGGCAGCACAAGGAGCAAUCUGAGGUGGCGACCGGCGCACGGGUGAGUAACACGUAUGCAACCUGCCUGUAAGCGGGGAAUAACCCGUUGAAAGACGGACUAAUACCGCAUAAUACUAAAUUACUGCAUGGUAAUUUAUUUAAACAUUUAUGGCUUACAGAUGGGCAUGCGCAUGAUUAGCUAGUUGGAGAGGUAACGGCUCCCCAAGGCAACGAUCAUUAGGGGUUCUGAGAGGAAGGUCCCCCACACUGGUACUGAGACACGGACCAGACUCCUACGGGAGGCAGCAGUGAGGAAUAUUGGUCAAUGGACGAGAGUCUGAACCAGCCAAGUCGCGUGCAGGAAGAAUGUCCUAUGGAUUGUAAACUGCUUUUGCAGGGGAAUAAAGUGCAUCACGUGUGAUGUUUUGUAUGUACUCUGCGAAUAAGGAUCGGCUAACUCCGUGCCAGCAGCAGC
rnacentral:rRNA from 1 species